GAUGAACGCUGGCGGCGUGCUUAACACAUGCAAGUCGAACGGUGAAGGCGGAGCUUGCUCUGCUGGAUCAGUGGCGAACGGGUGAGUAACACGUGAGCAAUCUGCCCCUGACUCUGGGAUAAGCGCUGGAAACGGCGUCUAAUACUGGAUACGAGCUGCGAAGGCAUCUUCAGCAGCUGGAAAGAAUUUCGGUCAGGGAUGAGCUCGCGGCCUAUCAGCUUGUUGGUGAGGUAAUGGCUCACCAAGGCGUCGACGGGUAGCCGGCCUGAGAGGGUGACCGGCCACACUGGGACUGAGACACGGCCCAGACUCCUACGGGAGGCAGCAGUGGGGAAUAUUGCACAAUGGGCGAAAGCCUGAUGCAGCAACGCCGCGUGAGGGACGACGGCCUGCGGGUUGUAAACCUCUUUUAGCAGGGAAGAAGCGAAAGUGACGGUACCUGCAGAAAAAGCGCCGGCUAACUACGUG
rnacentral:rRNA from 1 species